rfam:Schistosoma mattheei strain Denwood, Zambia genome assembly, scaffold: SMTD_scaffold0000375
AUCCAGAUGACGGGUCCCAAACAGGAUGAAACGCGCGUCCUGGUU